rnacentral:tRNA from 1 species
GCCGAAGUGGCGGAAUUGGUAGACGCGUUGGUUUCAAAAACCAAUGAACUUCACGUUCGUGCCGGUUCGAUUCCGGCCUUCGGUACCA